rnacentral:rRNA from 1 species
AUGGCAGCAAUCAACAAGGAAAUUAAACGUGUGUUGAUAGAAGUUCUUCUGAAGGUUACGGAUGAUCUUUUUAAUGAGAUCGCAACCAAAGUUAUGAAUGAAGAUGAUUCAUCAGCUGAACCAAAUGAGACCACUGGUGUCUCUAGCUCAAAGGAGCUUGGUCUGGGAGAAUCAAAAGUGAAGACCACAGCUAAAGUUGUAGUCCUUGCUAAGCCAAACAAUGUUAGCUCUACUGGUCGUUCUGAUGGUACUGGGCUAAGUUCUCCUAAAGGUGUUCUUAUUGGUCUUGCUAGUUAUGAUUCAGAUGACGAGGAUGAUGAGGGUGAUGGUGAUGGUAAGGGUUUAAUUCCAAAUUUAUCAUCUGAAAUUAAAAGUUGGUGCAGCUCAUCCUAA